rnacentral:rRNA from 1 species
AUUGAACGCUGGCGGCAUGCCUUACACAUGCAAGUCGAACGGCAGCGCGGACUUCGGUCUGGCGGCGAGUGGCGAACUGGUGAGUAAUACAUCGGAACGUACCCUGUUGUGGGGGAUAACUAGUCGAAAGAUUAGCUAAUACCCCAUACGACCUGAGGGUGAAAGUGGGGGACCGGAAACGCCCUCAUGCAGCCGCAGCUGCCGAUGUCUGAUUAGCUAGUUGGUGGGGUAAAGGCCCACCAAGGCGACGAUCAGUAGCUGGUCUGAGAGGACGAUCAGCCACACUGGGACUGAGACACGGCCCAGACUCCUACGGGAGGCAGCAGUGGGGAAUUUUGGACAAUGGGGGCAAGCCUGAUCCAGCAAUGCCGCGUGUGUGAAGAAGGCCUUCGGGUUGUAAAGCACUUUUGUCCGGAAAGAAAUCGCGCUGGUUAAUACCUGGCGUGGAUGACGGUACCGGAAGAAUAAGCACCGGCUAACUACGUG